GACGAACGCUGGCGGCGUGCCUAAUACAUGCAAGUAGAACGCUGAAGGAGGAGCUUGCUUCUCUGGAUGAGUUGCGAACGGGUGAGUAACGCGUAGGUAACCUGCCUGGUAGCGGGGGAUAACUAUUGGAAACGAUAGCUAAUACCGCAUAAGAGUAGAUGUUGCAUGACAUUUGCUUAAAAGGUGCAAUUGCAUCACUACCAGAUGGACCUGCGUUGUAUUAGCUAGUUGGUGGGGUAACGGCUCACCAAGGCGACGAUACAUAGCCGACCUGAGAGGGUGAUCGGCCACACUGGGACUGAGACACGGCCCAGACUCCUACGGGAGGCAGCAGUAGGGAAUCUUCGGCAAUGGACGGAAGUCCGACCGAGCAACGCCGCGUGAGUGAAGAAGGUUUUCGGAUCGUAAAGCUCUGUUGUAAGAGAAGAACGAGUGUGAGAGUGGAAAGUUCACACUGUGACGGUAUCUUACCAGAAAGGGACGGCUAACUACGUGCCAGCAGCCGCGGUAAUACGUAGGUCCCGAGCGUUGUCCGGAUUUAUUGGGCGUAAAGCGAGCGCAGGCGGUUAGAUAAGUCUGAAGUUAAAGGCUGUGGCUUAACCAUAGUACGCUUUGGAAACUGUUUAACUUGAGUGCAAGAGGGGAGAGUGGAAUUCCAUGUGUAGCGGUGAAAUGCGUAGAUAUAUGGAGGAACACCGGUGGCGAAAGCGGCUCUCUGGCUUGUAACUGACGCUGAGGCUCGAAAGCGUGGGGAGCAAACAGG
rnacentral:rRNA from 1 species